UCUAAGGGGCGGGAGGAGGCCGGAGUUAAAGGCGCCUGCGCCGGGCGGGGAAGACGCGCGGCGCCUGGGUUGGGUCUCCUGGAUCUUGGCGCCGAGCAGGGGCUGAGAACGGCAGGAUGUGUGUGCUUCCGCUGCGCCUGUUCCCGUGGCCUGCUGGCGCGUCCGUCGGAGCCGCCCAUCCCCCACCACUGCCACACACCGGGCGGGUCCUCGCACCCCCGCCAUUUGCUCGGAGACCACCCAGAGCGCUUCCUGAGCAGCCACUCCCAGGGAAACGCAUCUUGUACGGCCUGGCCUCGCCCUGGAGCUGCGCAGAACUGAUGCAGCCUGUCCUACUCCGGCCCAAUCUGUUACGUUAUUCCUACGUUAUCCGCUCCUAGAGCACACCAGGGCAUUCAGAGACACCAUCCAUCCUUCUCUCGGAUUCCUGUGGACCAACUUCAAACAUCCAUGGCCCAUAAUGAGAUCUACUAUCUAAAUCUGUACUCUUUCCAAUAAAUCCUGUCCCCAACUGCCA